UCUAGGCAAAGCCCAUUAGCAGGUAGCACAAGCUGAAUCCUGAUUUUCUAGCUGCAAAGCACGAUGUGAAGAAUGAUGAAGAUUAGCUCAUUCUUGAGUAGAUGGUGUGAAGUGCAGUUGUGAGGGCUGGAGUUGCUGUAGUCACUUUGUCACCACGAGGAAAACUGGCCCGAAGAAGAAUCUGAUGCACAGGGAAGAACAGAGCCAAGUAGAAGAGAACACUGGAGGUGGAGUCUCGUACAAAGUGCACCUGAAGCAUACUCUCUCUCUGAGCCUUUUUGAGCCACAUGAGAAUCACUGAAUUAUUUACCAGUAUAUCAGCACCAUAUAUGAGGAAGCAGAAUUUCAGAAAAGACAAAAAGAUAAAUAAAAAUAAUUUCUUAGUCUGAAGAUAAGCUGAGCUAUAUGAAGAAUGUAAUAGAUGAAAUGUGAUGCAAGCUGGACGGGACAAUAGAAAUGUCAAGAAAAACAUUUUUUUUUUUUAAUUGUGGAUAAAGUUCAGAGUUAACCUACUGGCCAAAGGCAUCAGUGCCCAGAAGGCUGGGGAUGGUUCUCAGCCAGAAGGAAGGAAAGAGAUGCUGGUGGGAAGGAGCCCAAGACAUUCCUCCUCUGAGAAGGAGGCCAAACCAGAAGAAUAUUUCAGAAAAUUGAUAUAAUAGAGCCUUGAACCACUCCAGGUGCAGUCCUGUACAGCUGUGGAAAGCUUUGUACACUUUCUAACAACUUCUCCAGGAAAAGGUUGGUAAUUCCAUUCACUGAUAUAAGGAAACCAGGAAGAGGAGCAGGCUUGCUCUCUUCAAAGGUCACCAAAAGAUGACCUAGAUCUGCACAUGAACACUUGUACAUGCCAGUCAUAAAAGGCCCUAUAUCACUCAAAAUACUAUCAGGAAGCAAAAUCCAAUUCAGAAGAUUGAAGAAACUUUCAUCCACUUCCUCAUUUUUACUAGACCCACUGCCUGGAUUCCUUUGUGCACUGAGUAUGUUGUGGGCCAAGUCUAAUUUCUCAUGAAUGUUGUGUUCUGAUCAUUACUCCUGCCAGAAAUUUGGAGCAGUGUUGUUCAGAUCAACCUGGACAACAAUUACGUGCUCUGUGCACAUGUUUAACUAAACCAGUGAUCAGAAAUGACACUUUGCUGCAAAACGGCAAAGUUGGAAACGACAUCUAUGAUGGACCAGCUGCCAGUCUUGAAGAAUCUGGUCUCCAUCUGCAUUUAGUGCGUUAUCCUUUGGAUUAUUUUGUUAGUGUGGGUAAAUUUGCAAACUGGAGCAAAUGGGGAUAUACCAGAAACUUAGAAUGGAUUUGUAGGAAAUUUUCAAACUACCU